GAAUGAAUGCGAUGCACCGGUAUCAAAUAAAGCACGAACUCUAAUGCCAUCAAGUAAAAUGAUACCUGCAACCACAUCCUCGGCUGCUGCCGCCUCCUCGGUCUGAGCAGCGUACAUGCGCCCACUCGGGGCCUGUCGAGAUCCCUCGCUCUGACGCUGGACGGGUGGCCGUCCAGGCUGAUACUGCGCUGACGGAGUCCCCUGGCUGGCGGCUGGUAGAGCCGGUGCCGACGCAGUAGACGGUGCC
rnacentral:lncRNA from 1 species